CGCUGCUCGGGUCCGGCCCCGCCGGCCCCGGUGCUCUCCGUAGUGGGAACCCCGUAGUGGAAAAAUGUAACUUUUGCGCGAUCACAGGUUCUGAGAAUCGCAUAAAGGUGCUUUCAAACAAAAUCAUUCUCCACAAGGAAAUGAAAUCAUUGUGUUUCACAUAAAGGUUUCCUUUAAGGUGCAAAAUAUUUUAAGUAUCAAAGGAGUAGGAAGAUGGUAAAGGAGAGAAGACACACGAGAAAUAAGAGCUUCAUAAAUGGAAAAUGAUUGGAGAGUUUUGAAUAAAAUAAAAUUGGUAUUUACUUUGUAAAAAACUGGAUAGGAAAAUUAUUGCAGAGUUAAAAGCAGACUUCUGUUGAUACAGGAUCUCUGCAUACCUGAUGGCCAGGUUUGCUGCAUCUCAUUGUUGUCAGUAUCCAAAGAAGCGCUGGCAUAAUUAUUCAGUUCUUUGCUAAAUGCUUACAUGUCACCCAGUACUUCAGAAGAUGAAGAAGGAAGGAAUGCAAGUCAGGAAUUUUGGGGUUCAUUUGCACAAAGCUGGGAGAAAGGACUGUGUCUUUAAACACUUUUUUUUUUUCCUUCCUGCUUGGGUUUGUACCUUUGGCUGAAGAGUGCACAUCCCUAAUGUCAGUCAAGGGGACAGGCUUGCUAUCCCUCACAUUUUCUGUGGUCUCCUUAGACUCUGCUUCUAGAGUGGCAAGCAUUCCUCUAUAGCUCUGCCAAAGAGAGGGAAGAAAGGCGGUCAGUCUCACAGCAAUCCCCAUUCUUCUUUGUUUGCAGUCCCUGUAUCAGGAGGGUUUAAAAAAUUAGAAAUAAAAUUAUU